UACGUAGGGUGGCAAGCGUUGUCCGGAAUUAUUGGGCGUAAAGCGCGCGCAGGUGGUUCUUUAAGUCUGAUGUGAAAGCCCCCGGCUCAACCGGGGAGGGUCAUUGGAAACUGGGGAACUUGAGUGCAGAAGAGGAUAGUGGAAUUCCAAGUGUAGCGGUGAAAUGCGUAGAGAUUUGGAGGAACACCAGUGGCGAAGGCGGCUUACUGGACUGUAACUGACACUGAGGCUCGAAAGCGUGGGGAGCAAACAGG
rnacentral:rRNA from 1 species